rnacentral:rRNA from 1 species
AACGGCGGCCGUAACUAUAACGGUCCUAAGGUAGCGAAAUUCCUUGUCAGGUAAGUUCUGACCCGCAUGAAAGGCGUAAUGAUUUGGGCACUGUCUCAACAGCCCGCCCGGCGAAAUUGUAGUACCGGUGAAGAUGCCGGUUACCCGCGACAAGACGGAAAGACCCCAUGGAGCUUUACUGUAGCCUAAUAUUGGGUUUCGAUGUUGCAUGCACAGGAUAGAUGGGACACUGGGAAGCAAGUGCUUUGGCAUUUGUGGAGUGGCCGUUGGGAUACCAUCCUUGCGAUAUUGGAAUUCUAACCUGCGCCUUUGAAUCAAGGCGGGGGACAUUGUUAGGUGGGCAGUUUGACUGGGGCGGUCGCCUCCUAAAGAGUAACGGAGGCGUUCAAAGGUUCGCUCAGCUUGAACGGAAAUCAAGCAAAAGAGUGCAAACGCAGAAGCGAGCCUAACUGCGAGACUGACGGGUCGAGCAGUAACGAAAGUUGGAGUUAGUGAUCCGGUGGUAUGUGAGUGGAAAUGCCAUCGCUCAACGGAUAAAAGUUACCCUGGGGAUAACAGGCUGAUCUCCCCCAAGAGUCCACAUCGACGGGGAGGUUUGGCACCUCGAUGUCGGCUCAUCGCAUCCUGGGGCUGUAUUCGGUCCCAAGGGUUUGGCUGUUCGCCAAUUAAAGCGGUACGCGAGCUGGGUUCAGAACGUCGUGAGACAGUUCGGUCCCUAUCUGUCGUGGGCGCAGGAUAUUUGAUGGGAGCUGUUCCUAGUACGAGAGGACCGGAGCGGACGUACCUCUGGCGCACCAGUUGUUCUGCCAAGGGCAUAGCUGGGCAACUAUGUACGGAUCGGAUAAACGCUGAAAGCAUCUAAGCGUGAAGCCGACCCAAAGAUAAGAUAUCCCAUUGUUUCAAACAAGUAAGACCCCUUGAAGACUACAAGGUUGAUAGGCACGAUGUGUAAGUGGAGUGAUCCAUUCAGCAAGCGUGUACUAAUAGGUCGAGGGCUUGACCAC